GAUGAACGCUGGCGGCGUGCCUAAUACAUGCAAGUCGAGCGAACGGACGAGAAGCUUGCUUCUCUGAUGUUAGCGGCGGACGGGUGAGUAACACGUGGAUAACCUACCUAUAAGACUGGGAUAACUUCGGGAAACCGGAGCUAAUACCGGAUAAUAUUUUGAACCGCAUGGUUCAAAAGUGAAAGACGGUCUUGCUGUCACUUAUAGAUGGAUCCGCGCUGCAUUAGCUAGUUGGUAAGGUAACGGCUUACCAAGGCAACGAUGCAUAGCCGACCUGAGAGGGUGAUCGGCCACACUGGAACUGAGACACGGUCCAGACUCCUACGGGAGGCAGCAGUAGGGAAUCUUCCGCAAUGGGCGAAAGCCUGACGGAGCAACGCCGCGUGAGUGAUGAAGGUCUUCGGAUCGUAAAACUCUGUUAUUAGGGAAGAACAUAUGUGUAAGUAACUGUGCACAUCUUGACGGUACCUAAUCAGAAAGCCACGGCUAACUACGUGCCAGCAGCCGCGGUAAUACGUAGGUGGCAAGCGUUAUCCGGAAUUAUUGGGCGUAAAGCGCGCGUAGGCGGUUUUUUAGUCUGAUGUGAAAGCCCACGGCUCAUCCGUGGAGGGUCAUUGGAAACUGGAAAACUUGAGUGCAGAAGAGGAAAGUGGAAUUCCAUGUGUAGCGGUGAAAUGCGCAGAGAUAUGGAGGAACACCAGUGGCGAAGGCGACUUUCUGGUCUGUAACUGACGCUGAUGUGCGAAAGCGUGGGGAUCAAACAGGAUUAGAUACCCUGGUAGUCCACGCCGUAAACGAUGAGUGCUAAGUGUUAGGGGGUUUCCGCCCCUUAGUGCUGCAGCUAACGCAUUAAGCACUCCGCCUGGGGAGUACGACCGCAAGGUUGAAACUCAAAGGAAUUGACGGGGACCCGCACAAGCGGUGGAGCAUGUGGUUUAAUUCGAAGCAACGCGAAGAACCUUACCAAAUCUUGACAUCCUUUGACAACUCUAGAGAUAGAGCUUUCCCCUUCGGGGGACAAAGUGACAGGUGGUGCAUGGUUGUCGUCAGCUCGUGUCGUGAGAUGUUGGGUUAAGUCCCGCAACGAGCGCAACCCUUAAGCUUAGUUGCCAUCAUUAAGUUGGGCACUCUAAGUUGACUGCCGGUGACAAACCGGAGGAAGGUGGGGAUGACGUCAAAUCAUCAUGCCCCUUAUGAUUUGGGCUACACACGUGCUACAAUGGACAAUACAAAGGGCAGCGAAACCGUGAGGUCAAGCAAAUCCCAUAAAGUUGUUCUCAGUUCGGAUUGUAGUCUGCAACUCGACUACAUGAAGCUGGAAUCGCUAGUAAUCGUAGAUCAGCAUGCUACGGUGAAUACGUUCCCGGGUCU
rnacentral:rRNA from 1 species